ensembl:lncRNA
CCCCAUCCACUCACUGGUUAUCCCUGGGCUCCUCCCUCCCAGAGCCUAUUCUUGGUGUGCGACCCUCCAGAUUUUCCAUCAGCUGGCUCAGGAAAAGUGGAGGAAUGACAGCGCGGGCUACACACACUCUUAAUAACAUCCCACAGACUUUUUCCAAAGCCACGUACAUGUUCAAAUACAAACAUAAGCCCUCUGUCAGUCUUUUAAAUAUAAAACAUUUUGGGUUUGAGGAUUUCACCAACAGUCGUUUUUCAAGACCACCCUCCAGGCCCAGCAGGGCUGUAGUUCAGACGUGCAGAGAAGCGUCAUGAAAGUGACGUCAUUCCAGAGUUCCCGUCAUGUGGAAGCCAGAAAGGAUGUCAUACUUUUUACUCCAUUUCCCCCCUCCUGACUUUUGUCUGACUGGCACACACUCACACACUCACGUGGAGGUCAGCAAGAAACAAUAUAGAUUUAGGGGGAUGUCUGAGUGUGUGGUAAACACGUGCAGAAGGUGUGGGCUGUGAAUGUCCCAAUGACAGUGCUGGAGGAGUCACUGAGAAACACUCGCCAUGAUCUUGGCACAGAGAGCGUUGGGCCUGUGCAAAACACAUCCAGGAGAUCACCUUAAAAGGAGGGGGACUCUUCACUGUUAUCAGAAGCCAGAGGAGCUGCUUCUAUCCCAGCUGGUUCCGCCUCAUCCUACAGCCUUCCUCUGUUUUCUUUGACUAGUCACCUACUUGUAUGUGAUUUCAUUGUCUACAAUGGGUGUGCGGGAUUUCUUUGUUUGAUUCCUGUGGCCACCAACAUGUAAAAUACAUGCCCACAUGACUGCACAUCUCUUUGGAUAAAAGCCUCUGUUAAAUGGUAUAUACCAUCAUUGUGUCAUUUUUCACAGACAAGAAAUUACUUUAGACAUAUUGAAUAUUUUAUUGCUGCUCAAAGUUAUAUAUCCAGUGAAGUGGAAGCUGACAAGACAACCCAGUGACUCAGGCAAGAGGCUAUGUCUAGUAGAGUGAUGGCGAAAUAGAAAAUUAUGUUUUUUCAAAAAAAGUUAAAUGUCUUGUGUAGCACUUGACUGCUGUCAAUAACGUAAGUCACUCUGGAUGAGAACGCCUGUUGACUUAAACGUAAAUGUUAAAAAAGCUUGUUAAAAAGGUGCAUGCAUCCUGUUAAAUAAAAGCCAUACACCUUUAUUGAUUGUAACAGUAAGAACCAAAACACAAGUUGAUCAGGAGAGCACACUUUUUCCAUGACUUGUGUCCUUUUGAUCUCAUCCUAAUUUUAGGAUACUGUGUCACUUGUGUCACUGUGUCACUUCCUGGCACUGCAGGUUGCCGUGCCAAUAAGAUCCAAUGCCGUCUCUCCCUCAUUUAGAGCACAAACACCUGUUUGUUGUUAUUGCCCUCACCUGUGUUCCUGAUCACUGUCCCUAUUUAAAAAAAGGACAGUCCAUUUAGAAUUUCUUCCUUUCACAGUGGCUCAGGUCAGUCUUUGUUUGAUUUCUACACCAAUGUGAUGUUGUGGUGUUUUUGUGUGUUUAUUUCAGUUUUGUUUUUAUUAAAUGUUCUUUUUAUUAAAUGUUCUCAUUUCUUCCUGCCUCAACUCUUCAAUGUUACACACUGGGUUUAGAAAAUGUUUGAUAAAAUGGUGUGUUCUGUGCCAGAACAUUUAAGCAGUAACAUGUAUACAUUUUAUCUAUGUGGUUUGGAGGAAAU